UGUGAUCUUAGGCCUGAUACCUACAGCCCUCCUGCAGGCCUCUUUUAAGAGGAUGCUUGUCCUUGGAAGGGAGAGCCUAUUUACUCUCCUGUGUCGGUAGCAUGUGGAAGAAAGGACAAGAGGAGAGGCAGAGCUAUAAGGAGCCUGUACCAGCCCACUGAAAAAAGCAGACUAGAAAUAAGAAAUGGGUCUGUUGCAAAUGAAGUGGAAGGUCGAAGGAGCUUGCUGGCCCUUGGCUGAUGUGUGCAUCU